UAAGAACUAGAACCACAACCGGA
rnacentral:siRNA from 1 species